AUUGAACGCUGGCGGCAUGCCUUACACAUGCAAGUCGAACGGCAGCACGGGUGCUUGCACCUGGUGGCGAGUGGCGAACGGGUGAGUAAUACAUCGGAACGUACCUUAUCGUGGGGGAUAACGCAGCGAAAGCUGUGCUAAUACCGCAUACGCCCUGGGGGGGAAAGCGGGGGAUCGCAAGACCUCGCGCGAUUAGAGCGGCCGAUGCCUGAUUAGCUUGUUGGUGGGGUAAAAGCCCACCAAGGCGACGAUCAGUAGCUGGUCUGAGAGGACGAUCAGCCACACUGGGACUGAGACACGGCCCAGACUCCUACGGGAGGCAGCAGUGGGGAAUUUUGGACAAUGGGUGCAACCCUGAUCCAGCAAUGCCGCGUGAGUGAAGAAGGCCUUCGGGUUGUAAAGCUCUUUUGUCAGGGAAGAAACAGCAGCUCUAACACAGUUUGCGAAUGACGGUACCUGAAGAAUAAGCACCGGCUAACUACGUGCCAGCCGCCGCUGUAA
rnacentral:rRNA from 1 species